CCCAAGGGUAUGGCUGUUCGCCAUUUAAAGUGGUACGCGAGCUGGGUUUAGAACGUCGUGAGACAGUUCGGUCCCUAUCUGCCGUGGGCGCUGGAGAACUGAGGGGGGCUGCUCCUAGUACGAGAGGACCGGAGUGGACGCAUCACUGGUGUUCGGGUUGUCAUGCCAAUGGCACUGCCCGGUAGCUAAAUGCGGAAGAGAUAAGUGCUGAAAGCAUCUAAGCACGAAACUUGCCCCGAGAUGAGUUCUCCCUGACCCUUUAAGGGUCCUGAAGGAACGUUGAAGACGACGACGUUGAUAGGCCGGGUGUGUAAGCGCAGCGAUGCGUUGAGCUAACCGGUACUAAUGAACCGUGAGGCUUAACCUU
rnacentral:rRNA from 1 species